rnacentral:lncRNA from 1 species
AGAAGUUGUUGGAGCAGUAAAUGCAGAUCUUCCCUUUUUCUCGUUGAAGAGCACUUGGAGAGCUUGAAGACUUGAAUGCUUGGAGUGGAAUGUCUAUUCUCUACCUUGCUACAGUCCUCUGUGGCUAUUUAAGCCAACCCCCAUGGAAACUAGCCGUUACUCUGCUUUUUCUGGCCGUUCUGCACACUCUGCGCAGCCUGACAAUGUGACCGUUGGUGGGUUGG